rnacentral:pre_miRNA from 1 species
UUUUCAGUACAAGUAGGUCUUGUGCAAUAUUUGGGACCUAUUUAUACUAAAA